rnacentral:lncRNA from 1 species
UAAUUAAGUCUUUCCACUUUUCUGUGGAAAGACUUAUUGUUUUUGUUCUGAUUAUUAUUAUUAUUUUUUUUUUUUUCCGCCAACUUUUGUUCUUGCGAUAAAUGUUUGUUUCGCAAUAUGUCGCUUAGAUAUUUCUCAUAUUGUAUCGUAUAGUUUAUGCGCUUUUAAAUUUCACCCUGCUAAGCCGAACCAUUUUCUUUGUAAGAGUUAUCUCCCUUUUCACUGUUUAUCAUCAAAGCGUAUCUCCUUCGUAACAAAAAAAGAUAGCGACAAAAUUCUUUUUACAAAUUGUUCGUUACAUCCUCAGUAAUUUUUGGCGUAUUUGGAUCGAAGCGAUUCGAUGAAAUUUUAUAGGAGUUAUCUACCUUUACAAAAUAAAUUUGUCGGUAUGUUUAUUUAACUCAUUAACAGAUAACCGUAUAACCCUAGGAUGUUUUUAUUUGAGUCCCCUAGGUCCUAACUUAGAAAAUGAGGUCAAGGUCAAAGGUCAAGGUCAAGUUCUCAAUUGUGACUUUUGCUUGUUUUUGCAUUUUCUCACUCACUUUGAGAGAUACAUAUAAAAGAACAAGUGCAAAAUGUCUGCUUAAUUGUUAUGAAGAUAUGCUACAUUUAGUCUUAUACAAUUAGAUGGCAUCUUAUAGGAGUUGUCGCCCCUGAAAUGUCUUGAUAUGAGGUUAUUUGAUUAUAACUUCAAGUAAGUUCAUUAUAAAGACAUUUGACCUGAUACAAAAGGUUAAGUGACAAAUGACCUUGAAAAAUGGCUACCGGAAGUGACCUUGAGAAAACCGGAAGUAGCUUUUUUUGCAAUUUUUUCACAUAAAAGUACUCAGAAUCCAUAUAUUUUUUCAUAUAGAUACAUGAACAAAUUACUGAAGACUAAAAAUGACUUCAAACAAACCGGAAGUGGCCAAUUAUCUCCCAUUCUACAUACAAAAGUAUAUAGAAACUAUAUAUUUUUGCAAUCAGUGUGAAAGAAGCUAUCAUAUGAGACCAGAUGUGACAUUCAUUUCACCGGAAGUAGCAUAUUAUCUCCCUUAUAUCACUCAAAAAGAUAAUUAAACCAUUAUUUAUCGCAUCAGUAUGAAGAAACUACCUUCUUAUCCAAAUUUCUGUGGUGUGGAAAGACUUUC